rnacentral:lncRNA from 1 species
UGCUGGGAAGUGUGCAGGAGGUGUUGGGGGCUGGAGAGAUGGUGGAGGAACACUACAGGCUGGGGAGAUGGUGGAGGAGGUGUUGGGGGCUGGAGAGAUGGUGGAGGAACACUACAGGCUGGGGAGAUGGUGGAGGAGGUGUUGGGGGCUGGGGAGAUGGUGGAGGAGGUGUUGGGGGCUGGGGAGAUGGUGGAGGAGGUGUUGGAGGCUGGGGAGAUGGUGGAGGAGGUGUUGGGGGCUGGGGAGAUGGUGGAGGAGGUGUUGGGGGCUGGGGAGAUGGUGGAGGAGGUGUUGGGGGCUGGGGAGAUGGUGGAGGAACACUACAGGCUGGGGAGAUGGUGGAGGAGGUGUUGGGGGCUGGGGAGAUGGUGGAGGAGGUGUUGGAGGCUGGGGAGAUGGUGGAGGAGGUGUUGAGGGCUGGAGAGAUGGUGGAGGAGGUGUCGGGGGCUGGGGAGAUGGUGGAGGAACAUCACUACAGGCUGGGUAAUGCUCGGGGUAGUGGCUCUUUA